UCCUCGGUAGCUCAGUGGUAGGGCGGUCGGCUGUUAACCGAUUGGUCGCAGGUUCGAAUCCCGCCCGGGGAG
rnacentral:tRNA from 1 species